UACAGAGGUGGCAAGCGUUGUUCGGAAUUACUGGGCGUAAAGGGCGCGUAGGCGGCCUUCUAAGUCAGACGUGAAAUCCCCAGGCUUAACUUGGGAACUGCGUCUGAUACUGGGAGGCUUGAGUGCGGGAGAGGGAUGUGGAAUUCCAGGUGUAGCGGUGAAAUGCGUAGAUAUCUGGAGGAACACCGGUGGCGAAGGCGGCAUCCUGGACCGAUACUGACGCUGAGGAGCGAAAGCCAGGGGAGCAAAGCGGGG
rnacentral:rRNA from 1 species